rnacentral:rRNA from 1 species
GCAGCACGGGUGCUUGCACCUGGUGGCGAAUGGCGAACGGGUGAGUAAUACAUCGGAACGCACCUUGUAGUGGGGGAUAGCUCGGCGAAAGCCGGAUUAAUACCGCAUACGCUCUGAGGAGGAAAGCGGGGGACCUUCGGGCCUCGCGCUACAAGAGCGGCCGAUGUCAGAUUAGCUAGUUGGUGGGGUAAAAGCUCACCAAGGCGACCAUCUGUAGCUGGUCUGAGAGGACGACCAGCCAGACUGGGACUGAGACACGGCCCACACUCCUACGGGAGGCAGCAGUGGGGAAUUUUGGACAAUGUCCGAAAGCCUGAUCCAGCAAUGGCGCGUGCGUGAAGAAGGCCUUGAGGUUGUAAAGCACUUUUGACCGGAAAGAAAUCCUCUGGGUUCAUACCUCGGGGGGAUGACGGUACCGGAAGAAUCUGCGCCGGCUAACUACGUGCCCUCCGCCGCGGCAAUACCUAUGGUGCAAGCGUUAAUCGAAAUUACUGGGCGUAUAGCGUGCGCAGGCGGUUUUGUAAGACUGAUGUGAAAUCCCCGGGCUUACCCUGCGAUCUGCUUUCG